rnacentral:rRNA from 1 species
GAGUUUGAUCGUGGCUCAGGACGAACGCUGGCGGCGUGCUUAACACAUGCAAGUCGAGCGGAGACAAUAGGCUUCGGCCGAUUGUUUUAGCGGCGGACGGGUGAGUAACGCGUGAGCAAUCUGUCCCAGACAGGGGGAUAACACUUGGAAACAGGUGCUAAUACCGCAUAAGACCACGGGAUCACAUGGUUUUGGGGUAAAAGGAGAAAUCCGGUUUGGGGUGAGCUCGCGUCCGAUUAGCUGGUUGGUGAGGUAAAGGCCCCACCAAGGCGACGAUCGGUAGCCGACCUGAGAGGGUGAUCGGCCACAUUGGAACUGAGAAACGGUCCAAACUCCUACGGGAGGCAGCAGUGGGGAAUAUUGGGCAAUGGGCGAAAGCCUGACCCAGCAACGCCGCGUGA